rnacentral:rRNA from 1 species
ACAGCUCAAAUUUGAAAGCUGCCAACAGGCCGCGUUGUAAUUUGUAGAAGAUGCUUUGGGUGUCGGUCCAGUCUAAGUUCCUUGGAACAGGACGUCAUAGAGGGUGAGAAUCCCGUACGUGAUUGGUGCCGGCGCCCGUGUAAAGCUCUUUCGACGAGUCGAGUUGUUUGGGAAUGCAGCUCAAAAUGGGUGGUAUAUUUCAUCUAAAGCUAAAUAUUGGCCAGAGACCGAUA